GACGAACGCUGGCGGCGUGCUUAACACAUGCAAGUCGAACGGAAAGGUCCUGCUUUUGUGGGGUGCUCGAGUGGCGAACGGGUGAGUAACACGUGAGUAACCUGCCCUUUACUUUGGGAUAACUUCAGGAAACUGGGGCUAAUACCGGAUAGGAGCUCCUGCUGCAUGGUGGGGGUUGGAAAGUUUCGGCGGUUGGGGAUGGACUCGCGGCUUAUCAGCUUGUUGGUGGGUUAGUGGCUUACCAAGGCUUUGACGGGUAGCCGGCCUGGGAGGGUGACCGGGCACAAUGGGACUGAGGUACGGCGCAGAAUCCUACGGGAGGCAGCAGUGGGGAAUAUUGCACAGUGGGCGGAAGCCUGAGGCAGCAACGUCGCGAGCGGGAUGACGGCCUUCGGGGUGUAAACAGAUGUCGCCUGUGACGAAGCGUGAGUGACGGUAAUGGGUAAAGAAGCACCGGCUAACUACGUG
rnacentral:rRNA from 1 species